rnacentral:rRNA from 1 species
UACAGAGGUCCCGAGCGUUGUUCGGAUUCAUUGGGCGUAAAGGGUGCGUAGGCGGCUUCCUAAGUUUGAUGUGAAAUCCUGGGGCUCAACCCUGGAACUGCAUUCGAUACUGCGUCGCUGGAGGACUGGAGAGGAGACUGGAAUUCACGGUGUAGCAGUGAAAUGCGUAGAUAUCGUGAGGAAGGCCAGUGGCGAAGGCGAGUCUCUGGACAGUUCCUGACGCUGAGGCACGAAGGCCAGGGGAGCAAACGGG